rnacentral:rRNA from 1 species
AACGUAGGAGGCGAGCGUUAUCCGGAUUCACUGGGCGUAAAGCGCCAGUAGGUGGUUCUGCAAGUCGAGUGUUAAAGCCCCUGGCUCAACUGGGGGAGGUCAUUCGAAACUGCGGGACUGGAGGACAGCAGAGGAGAGUGGAACUCCCGGUGUAGCGGUGGAAUGCGUAGAGAUCGGGAAGAACACCAGUGGCGAAGGCGACUCUCUGGGCUGUGCCUGACACUGAGAGGCGAAAGCGUGGGGAGCAAACGGG